ACGAACGCUGGCGGCGUGCUUAACCCCUGCAAGUCGCACGGAAAGGCCCUGCUUUUGUGGGGUGCUCGAGUGGCGAACGGGUGAGUAACACGUGAGUAACCUGCCCUUGACUUUGGGAUAACUUCAGGAAACUGGGGCUAAUACCGGAUAGGAGCUCCUGCUGCAUGGUGGGGGUUGGAAAGUUUCGGCGGUUGGGAUGGACUCGCGGCUUAUCAGCUUGUUGGUGGGGUAGUGGCUUACCAAGGCUUUGACGGGUAGCCGGCCUGAGAGGGUGACCGGCCACAUUGGGACUGAGAUACGGCCCAGACUCCUACGGGAGGCAGCAGUGGGGAAUAUUGCACAAUGGGCGGAAGCCUGAUGCAGCAACGCCGCGUGCGGGAUGACGGCCUUCGGGUUGUAAACCGCUUUCGCCUGUGACGAAGCGUGAGUGACGGUAAUGGGUAAAGAAGCACCGGCUAACUACGUG
rnacentral:rRNA from 1 species